rnacentral:rRNA from 1 species
ACUAAGCGUACACGGUGGAUGCCCUGGCAGUCAGAGGCGAUGAAGGACGUGCUAAUCUGCGAUAAGCGUCGGUAAGGUGAUAUGAACCGUUAUAACCGGCGAUUUCCGAAUGGGGAAACCCAGUGUGAUUCGUCACACUAUCAUUAACUGAAUCCAUAGGUUAAUGAGGCGAACCGGGGAACUGAAACAUCUAAGUACCCCGAGGAAAAGAAAUCAACCGAGAUUCCCCCAGUAGCGGCGAGCGAACGGGGAGCAGCCCAGAGCCUGAAUCAGUGUGUGUGUUAGUGGAAGCGUCUGGAAAGGCGUGCGAUACAGGGUGACAGCCCCGUACACAAAAAUGCACAUAUUGUGAGCUCGAUGAGUAGGGCGGGACACGUGGUAUCCUGUCUGAAUAUGGGGGGACCAUCCUCCAAGGCUAAAUACUCCUGACUGACCGAUAGUGAACCAGUACCGUGAGGGAAAGGCGAAAAGAACCCCGGCGAGGGGAGUGAAAAAGAACCUGAAACCGUGUACGUACAAGCAGUGGGAGCACGCUUAGGCGUGUGACUGCGUACCUUUUGUAUAAUGGGUCAGCGACUUAUAUUCUGUAGCAAGGUUAACCGAAUAGGGGAGCCGAAGGGAAACCGAGUCUUAACUGGGCGUUAAGUUGCAGGGUAUAGACCCGAAACCCGGUGAUCUAGCCAUGGGCAGGUUGAAGGUUGGGUAACACUAACUGGAGGACCGAACCGACUAAUGUUGAAAAAUUAGCGGAUGACUUGUGGCUGGGGGUGAAAGGCCAAUCAAACCGGGAGAUAGCUGGUUCUCCCGAAAGCUAUUUAGGUAGCGCCUCGUGAAUUCAUCUCCGGGGUAGAGCACUGUUUCGGCAAGGGGGUCAUCCCGACUUACCAACCCGAUGCAAACUGCGAAUACCGGAGAAUGUUAUCACGGGAGACACACGGCGGGUGCUAACGUCCGUCGUGAAGAGGGAAACAACCCAGACCGCCAGCUAAGGUCCCAAAGUCAUGGUUAAGUGGGAAACGAUGUGGGAAGGCCCAGACAGCCAGGAUGUUGGCUUAGAAGCAGCCAUCAUUUAAAGAAAGCGUAAUAGCUCACUGGUCGAGUCGGCCUGCGCGGAAGAUGUAACGGGGCUAAACCAUGCACCGAAGCUGCGGCAGCGACACUAUGUGUUGUUGGGUAGGGGAGCGUUCUGUAAGCCUGUGAAGGUGUACUGUGAGGUAUGCUGGAGGUAUCAGAAGUGCGAAUGCUGACAUAAGUAACGAUAAAGCGGGUGAAAAGCCCGCUCGCCGGAAGACCAAGGGUUCCUGUCCAACGUUAAUCGGGGCAGGGUGAGUCGACUCCUAAGGCGAGGCCGAAAGGCGUAGUCGAUGGGAAACAGGUUAAUAUUCCUGUACUUGGUGUUACUGCGAAGGGGGGACGGAGAAGGCUAUGUUGGCCGGGCGACGGUUGUCCCGGUUUAAGCGUGUAGGCUGGUUUUCCAGGCAAAUCCGGAAAACUAAGGCUGAGGCGUGAUGACGAGGCACUACGGUGCUGAAGCAACAAAUGCCCUGCUUCCAGGAAAAGCCUCUAAGCAUCAGGUAACAUCAAAUCGUACCCCAAACCGACACAGGUGGUCAGGUAGAGAAUACCAAGGCGCUUGAGAGAACUCGGGUGAAGGAACUAGGCAAAAUGGUGCCGUAACUUCGGGAGAAGGCACGCUGAUAUGUAGGUGAAGUCCCUCGCGGAUGGAGCUGAAAUCAGUCGAAGAUACCAGCUGGCUGCAACUGUUUAUUAAAAACACAGCACUGUGCAAACACGAAAGUGGACGUAUACGGUGUGACGCCUGCCCGGUGCCGGAAGGUUAAUUGAUGGGGUCAGCGCAAGCGAAGCUCUUGAUCGAAGCCCCGGUAAACGGCGGCCGUAACUAUAACGGUCCUAAGGUAGCGAAAUUCCUUGUCGGGUAAGUUCCGACCUGCACGAAUGGCGUAAUGAUGGCCAGGCUGUCUCCACCCGAGACUCAGUGAAAUUGAACUCGCUGUGAAGAUGCAGUGUACCCGCGGCAAGACGGAAAGACCCCGUGAACCUUUACUAUAGCUUGACACUGAACAUUGAGCCUUGAUGUGUAGGAUAGGUGGGAGGCUUUGAAGUGUGGACGCCAGUCUGCAUGGAGCCGACCUUGAAAUACCACCCUUUAAUGUUUGAUGUUCUAACGUUGACCCGUAAUCCGGGUUGCGGACAGUGUCUGGUGGGUAGUUUGACUGGGGCGGUCUCCUCCUAAAGAGUAACGGAGGAGCACGAAGGUUGGCUAAUCCUGGUCGGACAUCAGGAGGUUAGUGCAAUGGCAUAAGCCAGCUUGACUGCGAGCGUGACGGCGCGAGCAGGUGCGAAAGCAGGUCAUAGUGAUCCGGUGGUUCUGAAUGGAAGGGCCAUCGCUCAACGGAUAAAAGGUACUCCGGGGAUAACAGGCUGAUACCGCCCAAGAGUUCAUAUCGACGGCGGUGUUUGGCACCUCGAUGUCGGCUCAUCACAUCCUGGGGCUGAAGUAGGUCCCAAGGGUAUGGCUGUUCGCCAUUUAAAGUGGUACGCGAGCUGGGUUUAGAACGUCGUGAGACAGUUCGGUCCCUAUCUGCCGUGGGCGCUGGAGAACUGAGGGGGGCUGCUCCUAGUACGAGAGGACCGGAGUGGACGCAUCACUGGUGUUCGGGUUGUCAUGCCAAUGGCACUGCCCGGUAGCUAAAUGCGGAAGAGAUAAGUGCUGAAAGCAUCUAAGCACGAAACUUGCCCCGAGAUGAGUUCUCCCUGACUCCUUGAGAGUCCUGAAGGAACGUUGAAGACGACGACGUUGAUAGGCCGGGUGUGUAAGCGCAGCGAUGCGUUGAGCUAACCGGUACUAAUGAACCGUGAGGCUUAACC